ensembl:misc_RNA Metazoa_SRP Metazoan signal recognition particle RNA
GCCGGGCACGGUGGCACCCGCCUGUAGUCCCAGCUACUCAGGAGGCUGAGGCAGGAGGAUCGCUUGAGCCCAGGAGUUCUGGGCUAUAGUGCGUUAUGCCCAUCGGGUGUCCGCACUAAGUUCGGCAUCAAUAUGGUGACCUCCCGGGAGUGCGGGACCACCAGGUUGCCUAAGGAGGGGUGAACCAACCCAGGUCGGAAACGGAGCAGGUCAAAACUCCCGUGCUGAUCAAUAUAUGUAUAUACCAUAAAAAGAUCAUCACAAUCAAGUUAAAUAACUUAUCUAUCACCUCUG